rnacentral:rRNA from 1 species
UACGUAGGGGGCAAGCGUUGUCCGGAUUUAUUGGGCGUAAAGAGCGUGUAGGCGGCCUGACAGGUCUGCUGUGAAAACUCGAGGCUCAACCUCGAGAUGUCGGCGGAAACCGUCUGGCUAGAGUCCGGAAGAGGAGAGUGGAAUUCCUGGUGUAGCGGUGAAAUGCGCAGAUAUCAGGAAGAACACCUAUGGCGAAGGCGCUCUCUGGGACGGUACUGAGCUGAGACGCGAAAGCGUGGGGAGCGAACGG